AGAAUCAACGCUGGCGGCGUGCCUAACACAUGCAAGUCGAGCGCGAAAGGGGGAGCAAUCCCCCGAGUAGAGCGGCGAACGGGUGAGUAACGCGUGGGUAAUCUACCUCCGAGUGGGGAAUAACAGCGGGAAACUGCUGCUAAUACCGCAUGACAUCGUCGAGCCUUCGGGCAUGACGAUCAAAGCCGGGGACCGCAAGGCCUGGCGCUUGGAGAGGAGCCCGCGUCCGAUUAGCUAGUUGGCGGGGUAAUGGCCCACCAAGGCUCCGAU
rnacentral:rRNA from 1 species